AUAUCGCACGUGUCGUGUAGGUGAGAACCUGCGCUCAGGUUCGAGCCGAGCGAAGCGUGACAGCAACGCGUUAGCGUUGACCCCGAAAGCCGAGUGUCCUGUACGACUCGCCA
rnacentral:sRNA from 1 species